GACUGCGCAAGCGAAAAAAAACAUGAACAGGGAAAGAAGCGCCAUUUGGCUAAAAUGGCGCCUGGUUUCGUAAAUGAAACCAGGCUGUUAGGUUUGUAAAAAGCCGGUUAAAUUCAGUGUUAACAUAACACAUUUAUAUAAGCACGGGAAAAACUAUGAGCAAGAAAACGUUGAGCAACAAACGGAGAGAGGAGACGAAUCUUCUCUCAUUGCCCCGACAGACCCACAGACUGACGUCACUGACUGAGGCGUUUCAGUCCUCCAUGGAACAUCCAGCAUAAGGCUGUUCUGCUGGCACCAGUCCACAAAGCUCUGGAUCCACUGUCUGUACUGUGACUCAUCUUCAUCUGUGAUGAGACCUUAUGGCAGAGUCAUCUGAGAACUUCUGUAGAUGACAGCCUGGAUUCUCGAGAUGGGCAGCAGGUCGAUGACGGUAUCAUCCACCCCGAUGCCAGGCUGGUAGGCAAACUGCAGGGGAUCCAAUGAAGACCUAACCAGGAGGCAAAGAUGGAUGAGGAUCAGCCUCUCGAGGGUCUUCAUCAGGUUUGUUGGGGAACAUUAGAGAACAACCAGCAUCAUGAAAACCAAGGAACCCAGCAGACAGGUCAGGGAGAACGUUUUCUAGUUGUUUUUUCCCAGAGCAUUAAAGCCGGACUUAACUGUGACAUCACUGCAUCAAUUGAUUGGAUUUUGGUUUCUGAUUUAUUGUCUAUUUUUUUAUCAGCUAAUUUAGAUGUUUUACUUAUUCUUUUCAUUUUAGUUAGUAGUUUAGUUGAAUGUUGUUAGCUUAG